GCGAGACGGGCGUUAGUAUUUAACAUGGUUUAACGCGCAUUACGUAUGACAAUAUUAUAAACAGGCGACUGCCGGUAUAAUGUGCCCGUCCAAAGGUCAACAUGACCACCGUUCGCCGCGUCAAGGAAAUCAAAUAUUAUUAUUAUUAUUAUUAUUGCUGUGCGCGAAUCGGAAAACGAACGGAUUAUACCGACUGCGGUGUUU